CCUACGGGGUGCUGCAGUGGGGAAUAUUGGACAAUGGGCGAAAGCCUGAUCCAGCCAUGCCGCGUGUGUGAAGAAGGCCUUCGGGUUGUAAAGCACUUUCAGUGGGGAAGAAAGCCUUGGGGCUAAUACCCUCGAGGAAGGACAUCACCCACAGAAGAAGCACCGGCUAACUCCGUGCCAGCAGCCGCGGUAAUACGGAGGGUGCGAGCGUUAAUCGGAAUUACUGGGCGUAAAGCGCGCGUAGGCGGUCUGAUAAGCCGGUUGUGAAAGCCCCGGGCUCAACCUGGGAACGGCAUCCGGAACUGUCAGGCUAGAGUGCAGGAGAGGAAGGUGGAAUUCCCGGUGUAGCGGUGAAAUGCGUAGAGAUCGGGAGGAAUACCAGUGGCGAAGGCGGCCUUCUGGACUGACACUGACGCUGAGGUGCGAAAGCGUGGGUAGCAAACAGGAUUAGAUACCCAGUAGUC
rnacentral:rRNA from 1 species